rnacentral:lncRNA from 1 species
UUGAGUAUAAAAGGAGGUAAAAAUGCAAUGAUGGUUUUGAGGGUUUUAUGAACUGUGAUCUAUAAAUACUACACUGUAUCACUAUUCUAACUGUUCAAGAAAAGCAUUUGUGGAGUUCCCAUCGUGGCUCAGUGGUUAAUGAAUCCGACUAGGAACCAUGAGGCUGAGGGUUCGAUCCCUGGCCUUGCUCAGUGGGUUAAGGAUCCGGCGUUGCCGUGAGCCGUGGUGUAGGUUCCAGACUCGGCUCAGAUCCCACAUUGCUGUGGCUGGGUCUAAUCGGAGCUGUAGCUGAUGGCCUACACCAGAGCCACAGCAACUCUGGAUCCGAGCCUCGUCUUCAACCUACACCACAGCUCACAGCAACACCAGAUCCUUAAGUCACUGAGCGAGGCCAGGGAUAGAACCCCAAACCUCAUGGUUCCUAGUCAGAUUUGUUAACCACUGAGCCACGACAGGAACUCCCUCAGUCAGGUUCUUGAUUCACUGAGCCAUAAUGGGAACUCCUUAGGUUGUUUUCGUUUUUUUGUUUUUUUGGUUUUUUUGGCUUUCAUAUGAAUAAAACUAUGAACAUUUUUGUAUAAGCUCUUGUGUGGACAUAUAUUUUUAUUUCUCUUGGGUAGAUACCUAGGUUUGGAAUUGCUAGGUCAUAAAGUAACUAUUUUUAGCAUUUAGAGAGACUGCCAAACUGUUUUCCAAAGUAGCUACAGCAUGCUGCUUACUUUCCCAUAAGCAGUGUAUGAGGCUUUCAGUUUCUCUCAUCCUCACGAAAAUUUGUGAUUUUUUGGACUAUAGUUAAUCUAUUGAAUGAGAAGUGAUAUCUCAUUGUGAUUUUCAUUUCCCAGAUGACUUUCCAUGUGCUUAUUAGCUAUUCGUAUAGCAUUUCCUUUGGGAAAAUGUCUGUUGUAACUAUCCAAUUUAAAAUUGGGUUGUCUUUUUAUUAUUGAAUUGUCAGAGUUCUUAGUAGUCUAGACACAAGUCUCAAAUCAGGCUUAUGAUUUGCAAAUAUUUUCUCCCAUUCUAUAGACUGUCUUCUCACUUUCUUCAUAGAGUCCUCUAAAACACAGAAGUUUUUAAUUUUGAUCAAGUUCAAUAUAUCAAUCUUCUCUUUUAUCAUUUGUGCUUUUGGUGUUAUAGCUAAGAAAUCAUUGCCUGACUGAAGGUCACAAGACUUCCUCCCAUGUGUUCUUCUACAAGUCUAGGAGUUUUAGCUCCUAUAUCUAGUCUAUGACCCAUUUUGAGUUAAUUUUUGUAUAUGUUAUUUGUUAGAGGUCCAAAUUAAUUAUUUUAUGUAUGUAUAUUCAGUUGUUACAGCACUAUUUGCUAAAAGGAAUGUUCUUUC